AUCACAGAGGCCAACCAUUACCUCAACAAGACCCCCUACAACACAGUGAGAACUCCACUAAUUUCAUGGAAACCUCAAGUGACUCUCACCAGAUCUAGGAUCUCAGGGAAAUGAAGAGAGGAUGGUGGGUGCACCCGCCCCUCCCCAACUGACUGACAAAUCCCAUGGGUCCUCUUGACUGUUAGCACUCCGGAAGCCCCGCUCCAUGGAGGGAAAACCCUUCUUUCUAUCUACGCCUGCACGGCAAAGCCAUCUCUUUGACUGCACUUGUUUAAAUUACUAUGGCCUUGAAACCUCCCUCCAUAAGCCAUUCAGAUCAAAAUUCUCCCUGGAACCUCCUGAGUUGGCUGAGAACAGAGCAGCAAAGUCCACAAGAUUCUCCGAAGUUAGAGAGCUGCCACCCUGUUAAUGGGAAAAAGCCACUUGAAUUUUGAACUGUGUUUUAAGAACCAUACAUAUUCCUCAAGUCAAGGACAGGAUCUCAAUGAACAACUAAGUGAGCAUUGAAGAAAACCUUGUAACUCCUUGAGCAGAGCAGGAGGAACACCGUGACACCAAGCCGAAAGCAUUGAGGAACUCGUUGUGGACGUGCACGAGCAAGCUCACAGAGUAAAGAUUCCCAGUGUUUUCAACAACAAGGGAGGAAUUAAAUGUUUCUAGUUAAUCCAGAAUAACCUAA
rnacentral:lncRNA from 1 species